rnacentral:lncRNA from 1 species
GCCAAACUGGGCGUUACCCACGUGGGUCCGAAGCUGUCGCCGACCUGCGCAGGGCUGAAGUUCUGCUGCACCGCCUUCUCAUAGGGAAGCCUCUCGGGCGUCAGGAAGCUGGAGAGUGUCACCGAGCAGCUGUCCCCGAAGAGCCUGGGCAGGAGCAGCUGAUGGGCGCAUGCUCGAAGCCGCCCCUGUCCCACCCGUGAGCCAGCGGAUGGCUGGGGAAACGCUCUCCCUUGGCUAAGGCCGUGAGGACUGCCUGGCAGCUCAGCAGCACAGACCAACCUCUACCGUUCGCUCCCCAGCCCCUGGCCUGGCAGUGGCGGGAACUUUGUUCCGCGGCCCGGUUGGCCACGGCCUGGGUUUCCCUCCGGAAGGGAAGGGGAGAGCGCGCGGGUGUGGUAGGCCAAGGACCACACCUGCCGCGAAGGUUACAGUCGGUGAAGUAGAUCGGGGACACGAACUUCUCCACCCGCUCGAAAGUGGUGCGCCAGUGCUUCAAGAACGGCGCUGCCGCCAUGGCGAUGCGCCUUCCCUCCCCGGAAGAUCCUUGGUGCUGCCGGCUCGUUGCACCGCUUGGAACCAAAGGUUCCGGCAUCCAACCAGCUUACAGACCCGAGCAGCUUUUCUGGGAACACCACGGCUUUUGCAAGAGGCUGGCUCUGGGGAGCCUCCCAGUGAAACCCGGAAGCUGAGCCUUCGCGGUUCUCACCUCAGCCUUGCUGUCAGACAGCUGGGUAAAUUAUUUUAAAAUACAAUGGAGUCUGGAAGAAAAUAAUACAGGAGGAAUCUAACUAGCCUGCUUUAAUGGAAAUAACCAGGUUUACAUUCCAAAUGCAGGUUACCCAGAAAAAUGAUCAAGUAAGAAAUAUACAAUGCCAAUUAAAAUAACUUGUCAAAACUUGAGCAAA